GACGAACGCUGGCGGCGUGCUUAACACAUGCAAGUCGAACGGAAAGGCCCUGCUUGCAGGGUACUCGAGUGGCGAACGUGUGAGUAACACGUGGGUGAUCUGCCCUGCACUUCGGGAUAAGCCUGGGAAACUGGGUCUAAUACCGGAUAGGAGCCAUUUUUAGUGUGAUGGUUGGAAAGUUUUUUCGGUGUAGGAUGAGCUCGCGGCCUAUCAGCUUGUUGGUGGGGUAAUGGCCUACCAAGGCGGCGACGGGUAGCCGGCCUGAGAGGGUGGACGGCCACAUUGGGAAUGAGAUACGGCCCAGACUCCUACGGGAGGCAGCAGUGGGGAAUAUUGCACAAUGGGCGCAAGCCUGAUGCAGCGACGCCGCGUGGGGGAUGACGGCCUUCGGGUUGUAAACUCCUUUCGCUAGGGACGAAGCUUUUUGUGACGGUACCUAGAUAAGAAGCACCGGCUAACUACGUG
rnacentral:rRNA from 1 species